rnacentral:lncRNA from 1 species
UGUCCUCACCUCAAACCAAGCCAGGGAGUAGAGAACUCCAAGUCUUUGCUGUGAGAGUGAGGGAAGAGAAAGAAGCCAAGCAACGAUAACAACAGAAAACACAGGAAAUACAAAAAGUGAUACAGGCACACAGAAGUAUUUUCAAGCCCAGUGCCGGGUGCAUUUACUCACCAGGCUCUCUCCUGAGGGUCACUGAGCACAUCAUAUGCUGCUUGGAUUAACUUGAACUGUUCUGCAGCUUCCUCAGCAUUCUCAAGGUUUUUAUCUGAGAAUUAAAGGAAUAAACUGUCAACAACUCAAAGCAUAACAGCACCCCUCACGCAAACAGGAAAGGCGCUGCGGCCACACGGCACGAGGACCGCAGUCUCCGGCCUGGGAAUGGGCCGGAGGCACCCACGAGCCUUUACACGAGCCACGACCCGCCCAGGAGCUUCCCCACUCCCCAUGCCGCUCGGUCGCCCUCUCCCCGGCCCGCUCUCCCCUCCAGGCCUGCAGCAGGCCGGGCCCGCGGAGCGCCGUACCCGGGUGCCAGCGCAGCGCCAGCCGCCGGUAGGCCCGCUUCAGCUCCUCCUCGGCCGCGUCGCGCCGCACGCCCAGCACCUCGUAGUGGCACCUCAUGACGACGGGGCAGCCCGCGAGGAGAGCCGGCCGGCAACGAGAGCGGGGCAGCGGGCGGGAACAGGAAGAGCCGACCGCGCGGCCAUACGGAGCCCGGGCCGGGAGGAGCGACGGGAGCUGAGGCGGGGCGGGACUGUGAGAGGAAAACUACUCAUCAUCCUGAAAAAGAAAAUUCCUGUAAAGUGAAAACUUCUCAAAGGAUUACCUGCUGCUGUCAAGGACCAGUGUAGCUGACUUGAAUCCCCCUUAAUGAUAAGAACACCUGUGACAAACUAGGUACUUUUAUUUCUUGUGUAUAUUACAGCAAGCCAUUUCCUGGAGGUAUCUGAGCA